CGUGGCCAGUAAUGAUCAUAAGUUGGGUGUCAACAGCUACUAAAACUGUAACAGCGAAUAAUAGUGAAAAAACAUUUAAGGCAUAAAGUGAAUAAAAAUGUUCUUCUUGAUCAAGAAAGUAUUCAGACAAAAAGGGUAGUGUCAAAGGACGAGAUUCAUUUAAAGGUUCAAUUACAUCCAUCAAACAUGGCACGAAAGUCAUAGCCAAAUAUGCUGUCGAGAUAAAAUAUACAUAUCCUAAUAAAAAAAGAUAUUCGGGAAUAAGAAUAAUCAAUCACCUGAGGUAAAUUAAAGGACAAUAACAUUAUAUUAGACAUAUAAAAACGAUAUGAACGAGACUUUUGAUAAGGCCACAAUCCAAUAAAAGAUAAUAGACGAUAGUUAAAAUUAUACAAGCCACCCUCAAAGAUAUCCAUGUUACGCCAAAGACACGAUUCAUUCUAAACGAAAUUUUCUAAGGAGCAUAAGGGUAACUUCCCUUUACUAAGAGGAGGCGGUUUCAUGUAAAAUAUUCAGAACCACCCUUUGUUCAUGCUUCUCAUUACAAGUCGUACGCGUCCUCUGUGUAUUUCAAAGAGGAGUUUAUACAAAAGCUAUUAUUAUCUUUGACGUAGAUAAUAAUUAGUAAUAUGACUGAAGUUUUAACAUUUUCUUUGUCUUUCAUUUCAAACGUCUCGUUGUACUAGUUUAGAAACGAGACUAUUUUAAUUGUAUGUCUAUGUUAGAAACUAGAGUUGAAAAUACUCAUAACAUUUUAUCUUUACAGCAAACCCGUAAAAUGUAGCAAGUUGUUUUAUCGUGUAAUUUACUCGGUAGCUUGCAUUUCUGUUUUAAGUAUACGAUAGUCGCUGGUGUUUCAGGAAAUAUCAGUUGUUUCUUAGGAUGAAAUCCAUUCUUCAUAUGUAAGAAAUCUAUACUCGUGCUUGGUACGUUCUUCUUCAUUUUAUUAAAUCAUUAACUUAGUGAUUAAAUAAAUUAAUAAGAAGGUUUCGGGAAGAGAAAAUCAAUAGUUUAUCAAUAUAUUUACGAUAUAUACGAAUGAAAUAUUUUCAAAGAAAAGGCGUGUGUGAAAAUUUGUUAUAUUUAACAACUACUACGAUCCUUUAACAUUCAUCAUUAGCUAUGAAUUAGGUAUGCAUUCACUAAUGCGUCGAUACAAUUACCAUGAAAUACGACCCAGAGGUUUGGACAAUCUUAAAAAAGACAAAUGAAUAUUCUAAAUUGCUAAAUGAAUGUGAAGCACGGCACACAAAUGGAUUUUUUUUAAUUUAUCUACCUUCGCAAAAGUUUCUAAACAAAAUAUGAAUGUUUUUCCAGCAGUCAGAUAACAAGGUUCUAGGCUUCUUCGUAUUACUAAUAGUAAUAAUCUAUGAAUUUCAAUUGGUGCUUCAUACCAUAAUCCGCUAUAUCUACAAGAAGGAUAACAUAUACAUAAAAGAUGAGUAAAUUGAGCACAUGCAAAAACGAAAAAUGUAAAUGCUUCUGCUUUUUUAUCCAACAAUAUUAAUAUCUACGUAUAACGAUAAAUAUAAAGAAUGAAAAAGAUUUGUUUUAAAAUUAUGAGUACAAAAGGAAGUAUAUAGGACACUUACUUGGAACAUAGAAAUACUCAAACAUACCAAUCCCAUAAAAGCCUGCAUUAGAAAAGAUACCGAAUAAGAAGAUUCAAUAAGUUUUGCAAACCUUUUGAAAAAAGAUUUCAAUAAAUUACAAAAAGCAGUAAAUUCAUUUGUGUAAUGUACAAUGCUAUCGAAAUACAUCUGUCUAGUUUGAUGAUCCAAUAAAACUUCAGACUCGAGCCGAUCGUUCAACAAAUGUUCUAGACGAAAUCUACAGUGUUAUCAAGAAUGAAUCUAAUCGUAAAGUAUCAAUGAAAAUUUCUAUAAAUCAAAAUAAAUGCUUUCUUACCCUACUGCAGAAAACAAGCCGCAUAUGUGUGAAUUAAAAGUCAAAAAUUGACUAUCCGUAGCAACUAAUACCGUAAUUCCAACUGUAAUUUCAAUACUCAUGUGACAAUGAAUAUAAUAAAAAUAUUCUUGUUCGUCGACAAAGUAAUAGCUUUUAACAAUACUUCUCAAAGGGCGAGACUCGUUCAAAGGUGCUAAAAUAUCCAUGAAGCGUGGAAAAAGUGGCAUUGUUAAGAACAAUACCAUACAUGUGUAAAUAUACGCUGCAACAAAAAGAAAACCCCUAUCUGUUGCCCAUACAUUGAGUAUGAUUGAACGAGAAAGGGGAAAAAGGACAAGUAUUAAUUUGCUUUCAACUGACUUGAGGAAAAAAUAAUUUCAAUGAGACAGAGAGCUUGAAAUUAAUAUAAAUGUAAUCUAAAUCUCAAAAAGGAAGAUUUUCAUGAUUUUAAAUCACAUAAGGAUUAUUAGGAAUAAUUAACUCAAUACCAACAGCAGUCUGCAUGAUCUUAAAAAAGAAAUUGAUACUUGUUAAAUGUACCAAUUUGUACGUAUAUUAUUUGUAUUUAUAUACAUACAUACCGUCGAAAAGCUUUCGAAACAAAAGAUAAAUAUUUUUCCAGCAGUUAAAUAACAAGGCUGGAGACUUCUUCGAAUUAUUAAUAAUACUAAUCUGUGUAUUUCAAUUGGUGCCUCGUACCACUUUCCACUAUACCUGUAUAAUAUAUUAAAACAAAAUGAUUAAUAUCAUAAAUGAAAUAUUUACAGAAUAAGAAAAGGUUAUUGUUGAUUGUAUUACUAACGCUUUAACACGGACAUCGAUGCUAUAAUCAAUCAAUUUUUGACCAGGAUAGCACAUGCAAAAAAUGUGAACAAUUUGUGCAGCUGUAAAAGCGAUGUAUCUAAACCCUUCGCUAGAUGUUUUAAACACUAUUACUAUCUAUAAAGAUAAUAAAAUAUAAUUUAAUGCAUUAGUAUUAUAUCUAAUAACAACAAAAAAAAAGAAGAAGAGAAAGAGAGAAAUACUUAAAACUUACUUGAAACAAAGAAAGAGUCAUACACGCUAAACUCGAGCCAACUUGGGAAAGUAAAAAAAACGAAUAAGAAGAUUCAAUGAGGUCGGCGAACCUUAUAAAAAAAAGAAAUCAAAAAGAAGAAACAAAAGGA